GGCUUUGUUGAUAGUUAAUUUCAUCCUUCAUAGGAACUUCUUCGCUAAGUAGAAUUUGCAUGUCACAUUCCACACAGCAUUACUGCUCAUCCUCAUCUGAUGCUUUGUCUGCAUCAGCUGGUUUUUCCGCACCACAGUUUUGUCGGUUACACUUCGUCCUGAAUGGGUAGUUUAUAUUGUUGCACUUCUCACACUUCCAGCUGCCCUCAGGCGUUUUUGGUUUACCACCAUUCGAAUUUUCAGAUUUAGUUGGCUGGGUUCCAGGCCUUGGAGUAUUGCACUUCCUCAUGUUACAGACAUUUCGAAAUGAGAAGUUGUUGUUGCCACAAUUCGGACAUUUCCAGUCAUUUUCACGACCUGCAGGCUUCUCUUGGGAUCUCUCCUGAGAAAAUGCUCCAGGCCUUGGGCCCAUAGCACCAAGUCCCAUAGGCAAACCCACACCAUAUCUGUCCAUGAGAGGAGGCAUACCAUAUACACCACCUGGUCCAAGCAUGG
rnacentral:misc_RNA from 1 species